CAGAUCUAGCUUGCUAGAUGCUGACGAGUGGCGCACGGGUGCGUAACGCGUAUACAAUCUACCUUUAACUGAGGGAUAGCCCAGAGAAAUUUGGAUUAAUACCUCAUAGUAUUAUAAUUAGGCAUCUUUUUAUAAUUAAAACUUCGGUGGUUAAAGAUGAGUAUGCGUACUAUUAGCUAGUUGGUAAGGUAAAAGCUUACCAAGGCAACGAUAGUUAGGGGGCCUGAAAGGGUGAUCCCCCACACUGGUACUGAGACACGGACCAGACUCCUACGGGAGGCAGCAGUGAGGAAUAUUGCACAAUGGAGGAAACUCUGAUGCAGCCAUGCCGCGUGCAGGAAGAAUGCCCUAUGGGUUGUAAACUGCUUUUAUACAAGAAGAAACCUCGGUACGUGUACCGACUUGACGGUAUUGUAUGAAUAAGCACCGGCUAACUCCGUGCCAGCAGCCGCGGUAAUACGGAGGGUGCAAGCGUUAUCCGGAUUUAUUAGGUUUAAAGGGUCCGCAGGCGGAAUAUUAAGUCAGUGGUGAAAGCCUACAGCUCAACUGU
rnacentral:rRNA from 1 species